rnacentral:tRNA from 1 species
UAGCUCAGAGGUUAAAGCAUCUGCCUUCGAUGCGGGAGACCCGGGUUCGAUCCCUGG